rnacentral:rRNA from 1 species
AUUGAACGCUGGCGGCAGGCCUAACACAUGCAAGUCGAACGAGUGGCGGACGGGUGAGUAAUGUCUGGGAAACUGCCUGAUGGAGGGGGAUAACUACUGGAAACGGUAGCUAAUACCGCAUACCAUCGGAUGUGCCCAGAUGGGAUUAGCUAGGAGGUGGGGUAACGGCUCACCUAGGCGACGAUCCCUAGCUGGUUGUAGAGGAUGACCAGCCACACUGGAACUGAACCACGGUCAAGACUCCGACGGGAGGCAGCAGUGGGGAAGAGUGCACAAGGGGCGCAAGCCUGAUGCAGCCAUGCCGCGUGUAUGAAGAAGGCCUUCGGGUUGUAAAGUACGUUCAGCGGGGAGGCGUUACCCGCAGAAGAAGCACCGGCUAACUCCGUGCCAGCAGCCGCGGUAAUAC